rnacentral:rRNA from 1 species
GAUGAACGCUGGCGGCGUGCCUAACACAUGCAAGUCGAACGGAAAGGCCCCUUCGGGGGUACUCGAGUGGCGAACGGGUGAGUAACACGUGGGUAAUCUGCCCUGCACAUCGGGAUAAGCCUGGGAAACUGGGUCUAAUACCGAAUAGGACCAGUUGGCGCAUGCCUUCUGGUGAAAAGCUUUUGCGGUGUGGGAUGGGCCCGCGGCCUAUCAGCUUGUUGGUGGGGUGAUGGCCUACCAAGGCGACGACGGGUAGCCGGCCUGAGAGGGUGUCCGGCCACACUGGGACUGAGAUACGGCCCAGACUCCUACGGGAGGCAGCAGUGGGGAAUAUUGCACGAUGGGCGCAAGCCUGAUGCAGCGACGCCGCGUGGGGGAUGACGGCCUUCGGGUUGUAAACCUCUUUCAGCAGGGACGAAGCGCAAGUGACGGUACCUGCAGAAGAAGCACCGGCCAACUACGUGCCAGCCGCCGCAGUAAGAC